CAGGAGGUAACCAAGCCAGGGGAAGGAUGGAGGUCGGAGUAGCUCAAAUAUAGUCAAAGAUUUGAGGUUUGGGUGCUUCACAGUAGUUUGGUAUCAGUUUUCUUUUGACUACGAUAGGCUGCCUAGUUGCAUAGCUUGAGGCAUUGGUAGCUUCAUCAACCGUUAGAGCUAAGGGCUGGGCACUAGCUUAACCUCCUAGAUCUUCUUCCUAGCCC
rnacentral:lncRNA from 1 species